GACAGAGGGUGCAAACGUUGCUCGGAAUUACUGGGCGUAAAGCGCGUGUAGGCGGACGUGUAAGUCAGGUGUGAAAUCCCCGGGCUCAACCCGGGAACUGCACUUGAAACUGCGCGUCUUUGAGUACUGGGAGAGGGUAGUGGAAUUCCUGGUGUAGAGGUGAAAUUCGUAGAUAUCAGGAGGAACACCGGGUGGCGAAGGCGGCGGAGUCUGGGAAGAUACUGACGCUGAGGUGCGAAAGCGUGGGGGAGCAAACAGG
rnacentral:rRNA from 1 species